UUCCCCUCCCUCAGGAAAAAAAAACCCUAACUCAAGUUGGGCCUCCCUCAGAAAAAAAAAAACCCUCACUCAAGAUUUGUUUAACCAGUGAUUUAACAAAGGAAUCAGUUUCAGUAUGAAGCAAAUCAGAAAUCCUACAUCUGAAGAAACAAAACCAAAUCUUGGAUUUUUAUGGCAAUGCAGGGAGCUGGACAAGAGAGGAAGAAACCGCACUGAAAGAAGGUGUCCAGAAGCACGGUAAAGGCAAUCUCAGCACUUUCUCAAAGAGCUUAAUAUGACUAUGGAGAUGUUCUAUGGACUUCCUAGACAGGUGCGGGACCAACUUGUAGAGACUCAGCGCAAUGCUGAGACCUUCUUUAAUAUGUUGAUUCAGAAAGAAAGGUUGCUCGUAGCUCUCUAUUUGAGACUAAUAGUGUCAGAUAAAAUCAACUUAGGGAUAGCUGGGAAGAUGGCAAUCCUGGUUCAUGGGGGUCAAGCCUGCAAUAUCAGCCUGGAACUCCUCCUGCACAAAUCUUACGAAAGCACCAACCAUAGGGGAUUUGGAGAGGCACUUUGAUGCAUAUGGGAAGAUCUUGAAUAUUUUUUUUAGUGUUAUUAGAUUACUAUCUUUUGUAAAUAGUGAUUAUAAUUGGAAAUCUAAUAUUGUUUUCAAAUACAUGGUUAUUAAAGUAUUACAGAUUUAAUUUUGUA